GCCAACCCCUGAGUCUAACCCCCCACCAUCACUACACAUUGUUCACUACACCUGGAAGCAGUAGUAUUACAACGGUCUGUCUUGACUGACACGGCGCAGUACUGAGCAGCUGAAGGAAGGACUUUCUGGUAGAUGAGUAACAGUAUUCACUGUAAACCAGCGAACCCAUGGUCUCCAUGGUUGGAUUAGUUUGAGGAAUGUGGCGCGGAAGCUAGCAACGUUAAAAAGGUGCUGCUUGGUCUCUGAGUCACUGUCUCCCCUGUCUCGACCCCUGGCUCCUACCCCUCCUUGCGUUUGCUUUGGCAAGCAGGCCAGCCCAGAGCCACGUACUAUUUUAAUUCUGGAACAGUGCUGAAAUCACCAUCCCUGCUCUCCUCUGUCAUCCAUCUCAAUGGGAAGUGAAAUAUGUGACUGACUACUGUGGGGAUCCUCCCUGCUGUUUGCCUCUUGACCUUUGAACUGGCACCUGUGUGAACCUGUGUUCUGUCCUCAAGGCUGAAGCUUGUGUCACCAUGGCGACGGAUUCUCCCAACCCCUCCCUGAGGUCCAGAGUUACCAUGACGACGAACAACGACUCCUACAUGAGCACGUCUAGCCUCCCCUGCUGCCACUUCCUGUCAGCUAACAUCAUCAACGUGGGACCUCAAGGGUUAAAGACACGGAUCCUCCUCCUCCAAUAUCUUCUGGAGCAGAUAUUGGCUAAUGUAUCAGAGUAACCUAUAAAGGACUGUGUUGUGUCCCGACCUCCGUUUACC
rnacentral:lncRNA from 13 species